UUAUUUUUCUUUAGUUCUAAAGUUUAUUUUUCUUUGUGUUUUGUGUGGUUGAGUGUGGGAUUUGGAAGCAUAAAGGGUCUUCAAAUCCAUUCUUGUACACGGCUGCGCAUAAAAAAGCCACCCCCAAUAGGAAAACUCUUUCAAAGAUUAUUGAGUUCAAAAAAAGAAAUGGAAGCUAAUAUUGUUAAAGACGCAAAGAAGGCCCAGCCAUGGGUGAAAAUGGCCAACUAAGGGCUUGGUACGCCCUCAGUCUUCCCUUUCUCUUUACUUAUGCAUUCUUUGUUAUAUGUAAUUAAUUGUAUCAUGUAUUUGUAAAGUUGUAAAACUCAUGUAUAUUAUUGGAAUCAUUAUGAUUAUGAACUAGUCGUCUUA